CUCAUAGCGUAUAUUAAGUUGUUGCAGUUAAAACGCUCGUAGUCGGAUUUCGGGGCGGGCUGCUCGGUCUGCCGAUGGGUAUGCACUGGGUGGCGCGUCCUUCCUUCCGGAGACCGCGCCUUCUCUUAACUGAGCGGGCGCGGGAGACGGAACGUUUACUUUGAAAAAAUCAGAGUGUUUCAAGCAGGCAUCUCGCUCUUGCAUGGAUUAGCAUGGGAUAAUGAAAUAGGACUUUGGUGCUAUUUUGUUGGUUUCGAACACCGAAGUAAUGAUUAACAGGGACAGUCAGGGGCACUCGUAUUCCGUCGAGAGAGGUGAAAUUCUCAGACCAACGGAAGACGAACCACUGCGAAAGCAUUUGCCAGGGAUGUUUUCACUGAUCAAGAACGAAAGUUAGGGGAUCGAAGACGAUCAGAUACCGUCGUAGUCUUAACCAUAAACCAUGCCGACUAGGGAUUCGAGGGUGUUCCAUCUGUGACCCCUUGAGCACCUUUCGGGAAACUAAAGUCUUUGGGUUCCGGGGGGAGUAUGGUCGCAAGGCUGAAACUUAAAGGAAUUGACGGAAGGGCACCACCAGGAGUGGAGCCUGCGGCUUAAUUUGACUCAACACGGGGAAACUUACCAGGUCCAGACAUUGUGAGGAUUGACAGAUUGAGAGCUCCUUCUUGAUUCAAUGGGUGGUGGUGCAUGGCCGUUCUUAGUUGGUGGAGUGAUUUGUCUGGUUA
rnacentral:rRNA from 1 species